CAAUACGUACAAGAUGGUUACAGUACACUAAUGCUUUGCAGUUAGCAUUUUUUUACAAAGUAUGGUCAUAAUGUUUUUUCAACUUUUUCAACAGUCCGACAGACCAGCCGGCCAGACAGGCCACAGACAACUCAGGAUGAUGCUGGGAUUGCAGGUUCUGCUUCUGUAAGCCGCCCUCCUCUAAGGCGCCCAUCACAGGGCUCGGGGCACUUACCCAGGAGGCCAAGUAAGACACGGCGUCUUGUCUCUGAAUCUGCGGCUCCAUCUUCCCCACCCAGGCGGCGCAUUUCUGCAGUCUCACCCCAGCCACCACAGGCACUAUUGGCGAGUCCACAGAGUGAUGAGCCCAGAUCACCUCAGUUAUCUGAGCCAAGCUUGAUGCCCGACGUGGACCAGCAGGGACAAGACCAACAGGCAACAUUCACACUGCAACUAACACCUGUUGACCCGAGCCAGCCAAUACAGCCGCAGGAUAUCCCCCAAGCCUCCAUGAGUCCACAACUGGUCCAAGCUCCACCCCAGCCACAAAUUCCAGAUGACUUUUGGUCCAGUUGGACAAGCCAACAGACCCAAAGCAAUGCCAGCCUGACCGCACAUACCCAACACCUUGCCAGUCUGCCCCAUCAUCUACCGCGCAUUAGUCGCAACUCGGGCAGACUGAUUGUCCAAGU